CCUGCCCCUAGAGCCACUGCAGGUGUGGCUUCUUGUCAUAUGUGCAUCAGUAGGUGGCAGAGAGAAGAGGUUAUGUCUCUAUGUCAGUGUUCUGACCUAUGAACAUCUGAAUGAUCAGUAGUCUAAUAAUAUU
ensembl:snoRNA Gm24154 small nucleolar RNA SNORA17